UACGAAGGGGGCUAGCGUUGCUCGGAAUCACUGGGCGUAAAGCGCACGUAGGCGGAUUGUUAAGUCAGGGGUGAAAUCCUGGAGCUCAACUCCAGAACUGCCUUUGAUACUGGCGAUCUUGAGUCCGGGAGAGGUGAGUGGAACUGCGAGUGUAGAGGUGAAAUUCGUAGAUAUUCGCAAGAACACCAGUGGCGAAGGCGGACUCACUGGCCCGGUACUGACGCUGAGGAGCGAAAGCGUGGGGAGCGAGUCCGG
rnacentral:rRNA from 1 species